rnacentral:rRNA from 1 species
AUUGAACGCUGGCGGCAGGCUUAACACAUGCAAGUCGAGCGGCAGAGCGGAGCUUGCCCUUGGUUUGAGCGGCGGACGGGUGAGUAAUGCAUAGGAACCUGCCUGGUAGUGGGGGAUAACGUCCCGAAACGGGCGCUAAUACCGCAUACGUCCUGAGGGUGAAAGUGGGGGAUCUACGGACCUCACGCUAUCAGAUGAGCCUAGGUCGGAUUAGCUAGUUGGUGGGGUAAAGGCCUACCAAGGCGACGAUCCGUAACUGGUCUGAGAGGAUGAUCAGUCACACUGGAACUGAGACACGGUCCAGACUCCUACGGGAGGCAGCAGUGGGGAAUAUUGGACAAUGGGCGAAAGCCUGAUCCAGCCAUGCCGCGUGUGGGAAGAAGGUCUUCGGAUUGUAAAGCACUUUUGUUUGGGAGGAAGGGCAGUAAGUUAAUACCUUGCUGUUUUGACGUUACCAACAGAAUAAGCACCGGCUAACUACGUG